GAUGAUCAGGAGCUUGCUCCUGUGAUUAGUGGCGAACGGGUGAGUAACACGUGAGUAACCUGCCCCUGACUCUGGGAUAAGCGUUGGAAACGACGUCUAAUACUGGAUACGACUGCCGGCCGCAUGGUCUGGUGGUGGAAAGAUUUUUUGGUUGGGGAUGGACUCGCGGCCUAUCAGCUUGUUGGUGAGGUAAUGGCUCACCAAGGCGACGACGGGUAGCCGGCCUGAGAGGGUGACCGGCCACACUGGGACUGAGACACGGCCCAGACUCCUACGGGAGGCAGCAGUGGGGAAUAUUGCACAAUGGGCGAAAGCCUGAUGCAGCAACGCCGCGUGAGGGAUGACGGCCUUCGGGUUGUAAACCUCUUUUAGUAGGGAAGAAGCGAAAGUGACGGUACCUGCAGAAAAAGCACCGGCUAACUACGUGCCAGCAGCCGCGGUAAUACGUAGGGUGCAAGCGUUGUCCGGAAUUAUUGGGCGUAAAGAGCUCGUAGGCGGUUUGUCGCGUCUGCUGUGAAAUCCCGAGGCUCAACCUCGGGCUUGCAGUGGGUACGGGCAGACUAGAGUGCGGUAGGGGAGAUUGGAAUUCCUGGUGUAGCGGUGGAAUGCGCAGAUAUCAGGAGGAACACCGAUGGCGAAGGCAGAUCUCUGGGCCGUAACUGACGCUGAGGAGCGAAAGCGUGGGGAGCGAACAGGAUUAGAUACCCUGGUAGUCCACGCCGUAAACGUUGGGCGCUAGAUGUAGGGACCUUUCCACGGUUUCUGUGUCGUAGCUAACGCAUUAAGCGCCCCGCCUGGGGAGUACGGCCGCAAGGCU
rnacentral:rRNA from 1 species